GAAAGAAAACAAAGACCACAACUUAGGGCUAAGUCUGAAUAGCCUGGAGCCCCUUCAGCCCCCCUCUCAUGGAGUGGUUUACUCAGUCCACAACUGCCCCUGGUGACAGGCAUGGCAUGUUUGUCUUUGUUACAGUGACAUGCACAGCAUUUCUGAGAGGAAAAGAUAGUGACGUGUGAAUGGAACCUUCAGUUAACCUAAAGCCCUGGCCUGGGCCCCUAGUGGCUCUGGCCCUAGUGCAGGGCAGUUUCCUUGGUCCAGCCGGGAGUGGUAAAGAUGCAGCCAGUUUGGAGCUGCCACAAACAUGACUUCAGCGGCUGUUGGCCAGUUGGAGGGCUCUCUAUUUGCAUCUAAUGAGGGGCCGGGUUCUAAUUAACUCCUGUGAUGUGUUAAUUUUUCAACCUGACAUUUUCUGCUCUAAUAGAUUCUUGUAAUGGUUCCUAAAUUAAAGGCUGCAUUUAAAGACUAGAGUUUAGGUUAAACUCCAUCACCUAAGGGGGUGGGAGCUGUAAACAUCCUUUCCCUCCUAAAGGAAACCUCUCAUUUGCAGUUCUUUGCUAACCCAAUUAAGUGUUGAAGUGGUCACCCCAGAGCCUGCUUUUUAUUUCCUGUGAAACAAUCCAACUAAUCCAUAUUCAGUAGCUUCCAAGAAAAGUCUUAUUUCAACCACUCAUGAAGAAACCAGCUUCUUUGAAUCUAGGCAGAACAUUUAGAACUCACAAAGAGUUGUCUUGAUAGAAAAUGCAAGAAAGUAGUUUAUUAUUACCCUGUUUGGUUUUUGAGGGAAAAUUUUGCUGGUACUAAAACCCCGUAAGUAUUGUGAAUUUACUGAAAACAACAGAACCAUAGGGAAAUGCCAAGCCACAUCCUAUCAGUUUAUAAAUAGUCUGGGUGCUUCGUCUUCCCCUGCACCCAAACUAGUUAUAAAACAAAACCAUGUCUACUGAAGAAGGUGGAAGGGAACACUGAUCUGGCUCCAAGUUGAGGAAUCAAACAUCCCAAAAGGCUAAGUGACAACUAUUUAACUGGCAGAGCCAAAGUCUCUUAGUCCAUUGUACUACUAGUCAGGAGGGAAGCAUCAUCACCACUGAGAUCUUGAUGUCAAGGAAUCAAAGUCCAGUAGUUCCUCCUACCCAUAUAUUCAGCAAGCAUAAGAAGGUAGUGAUGGUUUAACACACAGAUGAGAAACCAAGACCUCUGUGGGAGGCAAAAAUUAAUGAAGACACACUUUCUACCUCCACUACCUCAUUUUGUUUCAGUAUUUGACAAGCCAUUAGCUGAUGUCUAGAGAUGGAUUGUUGCAGAUGUGUCACUGCAGGUAUGCAGACUUAUAAAAGAUGGUUUCUGCCUUCAAGAAGCUUUUAGUCACACUGGGGAAGAUGAACAUGAGAC
rnacentral:lncRNA from 1 species